AACGCACAUUGCACCUCUCGUUAUGGGGAGGUAUGCCUGUCUGAGCGUCAUUAUACCAACCUAGGCACAGCCUGUGUUGGGCUCCGCCCCCUUGCUUGGGGGGGCGCUGCCUUGAGACCAUGUCACGGUGAGCGGAUUGAGGUCCCCUGGGGCACACGCCGCUCCGAUGGCCGUCUUUCUUGAGAUUACGACCUCAGAUCAGGUAGGACCACCGCCUGAACUUAA
rnacentral:misc_RNA from 1 species